AACGAACGCUGGCGGCAUGCCUAACAUAUGCAAGUCGAACGAGACCUUCGGGUCUAGUGGCGCACGGGUGCGUAGCGCGUGGGAACCUGCCCUUAGGUUCGGAAUAACUCCCCGAAAGGGGUGCUAAUACCGGAUAAUGUCUUCGGACCAAAGAUUUAUCGCCUUUGGAUGGGCCCGCGUUGGAUUAGCUAGUUGGUAGGGUAAAAGCCUACCAAGGCGACGAUCCAUAGCUGGUCUGAGAGGAUGAUCAGCCACACUGGGACUGAGACACGGCCCAGACUCCUACGGGAGGCAGCAGUGGGGAAUAUUGGACAAUGGGCGAAAGCCUGAUCCAGCAAUGCCGCGUGAGUGAUGAAGGCCUUAGGGUUGUAAAGCUCUUUUACCCGGGAUGAUAAUGACAGUACCGGGAGAAUAAGCUCCGGCUAACUCCGUG
rnacentral:rRNA from 1 species